AACGAACGCUGGCGGCAGGCCUAACACAUGCAAGUCAAACGGCCCUUCGGGGCAGUGGCGCACGGGUGCGUAACGCGUGGGAAUGUACAUCUCGGUAAGGAAUAACUGCUGGAAACGGUAGCUAAUACCUUAUAAUGACUCCGGUCCAAAGAUUUAUCGCCGAGAAAUCAGCCCGCGUCAGAUUAGAUAGUUGGUGAGGUAAAAGCUCACCAAGUCGACGAUCUGUAGCUGGUCUGAGAGGAUGAUCAGCCACACUGGUACUGAGACACGGACCAGACUCCUACGGGAGGCAGCAGUGAGGAAUAUUGGACAAUGGGGGAAACCCUGAUCCAGCCAUGCCGCGUGAGUGAAGAAGGCCUUAGGGUUGUAAAGCUCUUUCAAUUGUGAAGAUAAUGACGGUAGCAAUAGAAGAAGCUCCGGCUAAAUUCGUGCCAGCCGCCGCGGUAAU
rnacentral:rRNA from 1 species